CCUACGGGUGGCAGCAGUGAGGACUAUUGGUCAAUGGACGAGAGUCUGAACCAGCCAAGUAGCGUGAAGGAUGACUGCCCUAUGGGUUGUAAACUUCUUUUAUAUGGGAAUAAAAUGUUCCACGUGUGGGAUUUUGUAUGUACCAUAUGAAUAAGGAUCGGCUAACUCCGUGCCAGCAGCCGCGGUAAUACGGAGGAUCCGAGCGUUAUCCGGAUUUAUUGGGUUUAAAGGGAGCGUAGGUGGAUUGUUAAGUCAGUUGUGAAAGUUUGCGGCUCAACCGUAAAAUUGCAGUUGAAACUGGCAGUCUUGAGUACAGUAGAGGUGGGCGGAAUUCGUGGUGUAGCGGUGAAAUGCUUAGAUAUCACGAAGAACUCCGAUUGCGAAGGCAGUUCACUGGACUGCAACUGACACUGAGGCUCGAAAGUGUGGGUAUCAAACAGGAUUAGAUACCCUAGUAGUC
rnacentral:rRNA from 1 species